rnacentral:lncRNA from 1 species
AUCCCCGAGCCGAGCCGUAAGGUCCUUAAGUGAGUAACUUUGCCCUGGAGGAAAGUGGAUUCUACGAAGGGAGUUAAGAACAGACACUGAGUCCCAGCAACUCUGGAGGCUGAGGCGGGAGCAUCGCUUGAGCCCAGGAGUUCGAGGCAGCCGUGAGCCGUAAUCGUGUCGCGCCACUGUACUCAAGCCUCCAGACCGGGCGACAGAGCAAGACCCCGAGACCCCUCCCAUUAAAAAAAAAUGAACACUGUACGAAACGCUGCGGUUUCAGAGCUGGAAGAGACCUCAGACAUUCAAUCCCUUUUCCCAAAAUUCACUGGAAGAGCUCGAGGAAAACUUUCCCUUGCAGCUGUCUCAGUCUUUACAGUGCUUAGUUACGAAGACAGUCUUAACAGUCCCAUCUUUCGCCCUGUAAUUCAAGGUCAUUUUUCAUUCUUUCUGUUUAAUAAUUGCAAAUAAUUUGGGUAGGAAUUUCGUUGAGCCUCACAAAUCGUUGCUGAGUUGCACAGUGACAAUCUUGCCACCCUUUUAAAGCCUUUUACUUUAUGGGUUCCUAGAAAACCACUCAUCGUCAUUAUUAACAUUCAUUAGAUGUUUCUCUUAAAUCCUAGACGGUAUUCCUAAAUCAGGAAUUUUAAUAGAUCAGAAUACGGCAGUCUGUUUUCCUGGGCAUCAAUUAUAAUAUAACCUUGUACUGUCACACUGGUCUUUGACUUCGACGAUGAAAAAGAAAGAAAGGCUCAGAAAGAUGGGUCCCGGAAGCAGCCGAGGAAAACAGGUAGUUAUCAAGGUUAGAGCCAUCACAAAGAGAGGAGUACCUCGCUAUGUGAUAAACCUGCAACCCAAAUACUAACCAUACCAUGGGUCAGUAUGGUCGUUUGAAGGGAGGGAAAUGGUAUGGGUGUAUUCCUCUUGCAGGAAGACCCCAUAUCUACUUUGGGUAAAGUGAGGAGCCAUUUUCCUGAGGCUAGCGGUAGGUGGGAGAUAUAUGGACAAUGGCACUGGACUGAGAGCUUAGAUAACCUGUCCCUGGUGACUCCUGACCUGCAGCCUUGCUCCCUCUUUCCCUCUCACCAGACUCCCUCCCUUCUUCAGAUCAGGUGACACAAACGAUUUUUUUUCUGUUUUUUUGACACACAGUCUUGGUUUGUUGCCCAAGCUGGAGGGCAGUGGUGCGAUCACAGCUGACCCUAACUUCGACCUUAAGGUUCAAGAGACUCUCCUGCCUCAGUCUCCAGAGUAGCUAGUACCACCAACAUGGGCCACCAUACCCAGCUAAUUUUUAUUUUUUGUAGAAUGAGAUCUUACUAUAUUCCCCAGGCUGGUCUCAAACUCUUGGCCUCAAGCAGUCCUCCUGCCUCAGACUCCUAAAGUGCU